CACUAACGCUGGCGGCAUGCCUAACACAUGCCAGUCGAACGAGACCUUCGGGUCUAGUGGCGCACGGGUGCGUAACGCGUGGGAACCUGCCCUUAGGUUCGGAAUAACUCCCCGAAAGGGGUGCUAAUACCGGAUAAUGUCUUCGGACCAAAGAUUUAUCGCCUUUGGAUGGGCCCGCGUUGGAUUAGCUAGUUGGUAGGGUAAAAGCCUACCAAGGCGACGAUCCAUAGCUGGUCUGAGAGGAUGAUCAGCCACACUGGGACUGAGACACGGCCCAGACUCCUACGGGAGGCAGCAGUGGGGAAUAUUGGACAAUGGGCGAAAGCCUGAUCCAGCAAUGCCGCGUGAGUGAUGAAGGCCUUAGGGUUGUAAAGCUCUUUUACCCGGGAUGAUAAUGACAGUACCGGGAGAAUAAGCUCCGGCUAACUCCGUG
rnacentral:rRNA from 1 species